GUCCAUUUAAAGUUUGAAGGAAACCUACUGUUGCUAAGAACUAUUCAAUAAUAAUAUCUCAGAAUAAAAACUCCCAUUUGAUUGUAAACCACAUCUGACAUCUGGUUUUUCUGUUUGUGUUUACAGAAGUAUGGCUCAAUUGCUCCGAGGUUCAGACAGAGUCAGGAGCUUCAGCAGAGAGAGGAGAGACUGUUCAGCUCUGUCACCUUCAAACCAGGUUUCAACCACAGCAACAUCAAACUGACCGUGUGGAAGAGACUACACCGAAAAGUACUGCCAGCACAAGAGCUGUUGAAGCUGGAUCCUCAGACUGCC